GACGAACGCUGGCGGCGUGCCUAAUACAUGCAAGUUGAGCGCUGAAGGUUGGUACUUGUACCAACUGGAUGAGCAGCGAACGGGUGAGUAACGCGUGGGGAAUCUGCCUUUGAGCGGGGGACAACAUUUGGAAACGAAUGCUAAUACCGCAUAAAAACUUUAAACACAAGUUUUAAGUUUGAAAGAUGCAAUUGCAUCACUCAAAGAUGAUCCCGCGUUGUAUUAGCUAGUUGGUGAGGUAAAGGCUCACCAAGGCGAUGAUACAUAGCCGACCUGAGAGGGUGAUCGGCCACAUUGGGACGGAGACAAGGCCCAAACUCCUACGGGAGGCAGCAGUAGGGAAUCUUCGGAAAUGGACGAAAGUCUGACCGAGCAACGCCGCGUGAGUGAAGAAGGGUGUCGGAUCGUAAAACUCUGUUGGUAGAGAAGAACGUUGGUGAGAGUGGAAAGCUCAUCAAGUGACGGUAACUACCCAGAAAGGGACGGCUAACUACGUG
rnacentral:rRNA from 1 species